CUGGAGGGAAAGGACAGCCUGGAGGGCCUGGAAGAGAAGGACUCCCCGGCGGUCCCGGAUACUUCGGACUGAAAGGUGAGAGAGGAUACCCCGGGCUCCCCGGCUUGCCCGCUCCUCCUUAUCGAUCAGAGUUUGUGGAGAGAGGAGAACCCGGAUAUAACGGAGGCAGCGGCCUUCCUGGCUUCCCCGGACCCUAGAGGGGACAAGGGUCUGUCAGGUCUGCCUGGUCGUCAAGGUCUGCCUGGACUUCCUGGUUACGCUGAGCAGAGUAAAGGACAGCCGGGACAACCUGGGUAUCCCGGGCAACCAGGAGGUCCUGGCUACCCCGCACCGAAGGGAGAACCUGGAAUCAUGGGAUUCCCCGGCAUGUCUGGACCAAGGGGUGAUGAUGGUGGACCUGGUUU
rnacentral:lncRNA from 1 species